rnacentral:rRNA from 1 species
AGUGAACGCUGGCGGUAGGCCUAACACAUGCAAGUCGAACGGCAGCACAGGAGAGCUUGCUCUCUGGGUGGCGAGUGGCGGACGGGUGAGGAAUACAUCGGAAUCUACCUUUUCGUGGGGGAUAACGUAGGGAAACUUACGCUAAUACCGCAUACGACCUUCGGGUGAAAGCAGGGGACCUUCGGGCCUUGCGCGGAUAGAUGAGCCGAUGUCGGAUUAGCUAGUUGGCGAGGUAAAGGCCCACCAAGGCGACGAUCCGUAGCUGGUCUGAGAGGAUGAUCAGCCACACUGGAACUGAGACACGGUCCAGACUCCUACGGGAGGCAGCAGUGGGGAAUAUUGGACAAUGGGCGAAAGCCUGAUCCAGCCAUACCGCGUGGGUGAAGAAGGCCUUCGGGUUGUAAAGCCCUUUUGUUGGGAAAGAAAAGCAGUCGGUUAAUACCCGGUUGUUCUGACGGUACCCAAAGAAUAAGCACCGGCUAACUUCGUG